rnacentral:rRNA from 1 species
GACGAACGCUGGCGGCGCGCUUAACACAUGCAAGUCGAACGGAAAGGCCCUGCUUUUGUGGGGUGCUCGAGUGGCGAACGGGUGAGUAACACGUGAGUAACCUGCCCUUGACUUUGGGAUAACUUCAGGAAACUGGGGCUAAUACCGGAUAGGAGCUCCUGCUGCAUGGUGGGGGUUGGAAAGUUUCGGCGGUUGGGGAUGGACUCGCGGCUUAUCAGCUUGUUGGUGGGGUAGUGGCUUACCAAGGCUUUGACGGGUAGCCGGCCUGAGAGGGUGACCGGCCACAUUGGGACUGAGAUACGGCCCAGACUCCUACGGGAGGCAGCAGUGGGAAAUAUUGCACAAUGGGCGGAAGCCUAAUGCAGCAACGCCGCGUGCGGGAUGACGGCCUUCGGGUUGUAAACCGCUUUCGCCUGUGACGAAGCGUGAGUGACGGUAAUGGGUAAAGAAGCACCGGCUAACUACGUG